AGUCUGCAUGGAGCCGACCUUGAAAUACCACCCUUUAAUGUUUGAUGUUCUAACGUUGGCCCGUAAUCCGGGUUGCGGACAGUGUCUGGUGGGUAGUUUGACUGGGGCGGUCUCCUCCUAAAGAGUAACGGAGGAGCACGAAGGUUGGCUAAUCCUGGUCGGACAUCAGGAGGUUAGUGCAAUGGCAUAAGCCAGCUUGACUGCGAGCGUGACGGCGCGAGCAGGUGCGAAAGCAGGUCAUAGUGAUCCGGUGGUUCUGAAUGGAAGGGCCAUCGCUCAACGGAUAAAAGGUACUCCGGGGAUAACAGGCUGAUACCGCCCAAGAGUUCAUAUCGACGGCGGUGUUUGGCACCUCGAUGUCGGCUCAUCACAUCCUGGGGCUGAAGUAGGUCCCAAGGGUAUGGCUGUUCGCCAUUUAAAGUGGUACGCGAGCUGGGUUUAGAACGUCGUGAGACAGUUCGGUCCCUAUCUGCCGUGGGCGCUGGAGAACUGAGGGGGGCUGCUCCUAGUACGAGAGGACCGGAGUGGACGCAUCACUGGUGUUCGGGUUGUCAUGCCAAUGGCACUGCCCGGUAGCUAAAUGCGGAAGAGAUAAGUGCUGAAAGCAUCUAAGCACGAAACUUGCCCCGAGAUGAGUUCUCCCUGACUCCUUGAGAGUCCUGAAGGAACGUUGAAGACGACGACGUUGAUAGGCCGGGUGUGUAAGCGCAGCGAUGCGUUGAGCUAACCGGUACUAAUGAACCGUGAGGCUUAACCUU
rnacentral:rRNA from 1 species